ensembl:snRNA RNU6-1036P RNA, U6 small nuclear 1036, pseudogene
GUGCUUGCUUUGGCAGCACGUUUAGUAAAAUUGGAAUGAUACAGAGAUUAGCGUGGCCCCUGCACAAGGAGGACAUGCAAAUUCAUGAAGUGUUCCAUAUUUUA